rnacentral:lncRNA from 1 species
UUUCAUCGAUAGAGGUAUGAUAAAUUUAGAGGACUAAAUUUUUCUUUUAAGGGGGGGAGAGUGUAACAUCCCUCAUUAUCGAAAUUUUCGUAUAAGUUUCUAGUUAUAAUGUAAGUAUCUAUUUUAAAUUUGAUAAAAGAGCCAAAGUAUGAAUCUGAGAACUUAUUCAUAAGAUUUGGGGGAUUUGUUCAAAAAAAAAAAAAGUUUUGAGGACCUAUAUGUAAACCCUAAGGAC